CAUGAGUAAAUCUGCGAGACAGUCUUUGCUGGGCUGAAGAUAUGCAUACGUGCAGCUUUGAUAGACUCUGUUAUAUUAUACUUCAAAGCAGUCUUGCCAAUACUCACCCAGCAUGCAUGGGAGCGUGUGUUCCCAAGUCACUUGCCAGUAGAGUCUGCAAUAAAUCAUUUGGGUCUUUGCCCAUCUGAGAGGAUCGCCUCACAUGAUCACUUCACUGAGUUAAAAGAUUUUUCUCAUCAUUCAUUGGAUGCCAAGAACUGUGAGGAGUCUGAGAUUUUAGCUCCCUUGCAAGCAAACGGGUUAGCCUGCCACCAAAUCAUGGAUGUUGGCAAAAGACGUGGCAUUCCUGGGCCAGUACUCACAGCACAGCAAGCAGCAUGAGCCUCGUGUUUGCAAGGAAACCACAAAUGUUGGAGAGGAUGCGGAGAAAAGGGAACCCU